ACUGUACCACUGUAUUUUUCAAGGAAUCAGGAGACCUGUGACAUGGUGCUGACAUGGAGAUAAGCUAACAGGGCCGUGUGACUUGAAUGAGAAAUCAGAGGCUCACAGAUGUUUAUAAAAAAUUCCUGGGCUUCCCUGGUGGCGCAGUGGUUGAGAGUCUGCCUGCCGAUGCAGGGGACACGGGUUCGUGCCCCGGUCCGGGAAGA